GCGUUGUCCGGAAUUACUGGGCGUAAAGAGCGUGUAGGCGGGUAAUUAAGUCAGAUGUGAAAACUUGGGGCUCAACCGCAAGAUUGCAUCUGAAACUGGAUACCUUGAGGGCAGGAGAGGAAAGUGGAAUUCCUAGUGUAGCGGUGAAAUGCGUAGAUAUUAGGAGGAACACCAGUGGCGAAGGCGACUUUCUGGACUGUACCUGACGCUGAGACGCGAAAGCGUG
rnacentral:rRNA from 1 species